CGCUGGCGGCGUGCCUAAUACAUGCAAGUCGAACGGUCUUUCUAUGGAAGCUUGCUUCCACUGAGAAGAUAGUGGCGAACGGGUGAGUAACACGUGGGUAACCUGCCCAUAAGAGGGGGAUAACAUCCGGAAACGGGUAGCUAAUACCGCAUAGUUUUCUUGAUCGCAUGAUUGAGAAAGGAAAGACGGCCUUUGUGCUGUCGCUUAUGGAUGGACCCGCGGCGUAUUAGUUAGUUGGUGAGGUAACGGCUCACCAAGACGAUGAUACGUAGCCGACCUGAGAGGGUGAUCGGCCACAUUGGGACUGAGACACGGCCCAAACUCCUACGGGAGGCAGCAGUAGGGAAUCUUCCGCAAUGGACGAAAGUCUGACGGAGCAACGCCGCGUGAGUGAAGAAAAGGUUUUCGGAUCGUAAAACUCUGUUGUCAGAGAAGAACAAGUUGGAGAGUAACUGCUCCAGCCUUGACGGUAUCUGACCAGAAAGCCACGGCUAACUACGUGCCAGCAGCCGC
rnacentral:rRNA from 1 species